CUAUCUGCAGUCGAGGGGCAUCGCAGGUAGCAAUACUGGGCGGCGACCGGCAAACGGGUGCGGAACACGUACGUAACCUUCCUUUAAGUGGGAGAUAGCCCGAAGAAAUUCGGAUUAAUACCCCAUAAGAUCAUAGAGUGGCAUCACUUAGUGAUUAAAGAAUUUCGCUUAAAGAUGGGCGUGCGGCUGAUUAGGUAGUUGGUGAGGUAACGGCUCACCAAGCCAACGAUCAGUAACUGGCGUGAGAGCGCGACCAGUCACACGGGCACUGAGACACGGGCCCGACUCCUACGGGAGGCAGCAGUAAGGAAUAUUGGUCAAUGGACGGAAGUCUGAACCAGCCAUGCCGCGUGAAGGAUGAAGGUCCUCUGGAUUGUAAACUUCUUUUAUAUGGGAAGAAACCACUUCUAUCUAAAGGUGUUGACGGUACCAUAGGAAUAAGCACCGGCUAACUCCGUGCCAGCAGCCGCGGUAAUACGGAGGGUGCAAGCGUUAUCCGGAUUCACUGGGUUUAAAGGGUGCGUAGGCGGAUUGGUAAGUCCGUGGUGAAAUCUCCGAGCUUAACUCGGAAACUGCCAUGGAUACUAUUAGUCUUGAAUAUUGUGGAGGUUAGCGGAAUAUGUCAUGUAGCGGUGAAAUGCAUAGAUAUGACAUAGAACACCAAUUGCGAAGGCAGCUGGCUACACAAAUAUUGACGCUGAUGCACGAAAGCGUGGGGAUCAAACAGGAUUAGAUACCCUGGUAGUCCACGCCCUAAACGAUGAUUACUCGACAUUUGCGAUAUACAGUAAGUGUCUGAGCGAAAGCAUUAAGUAAUCCACCUGGGAAGUACGACCGCAAGGUUGAAACU
rnacentral:rRNA from 1 species